AUUGAACGCUGGCGGCAGGCCUAACACAUGCAAGUCGAGCGGAUGGCGGGAGCUUGCUCCUGGAUUCAGCGGCGGACGGGUGAGUAAUGCCUAGGAAUCUGCCUGGUAGUGGGGGACAACGUUUCGAAAGGAACGCUAAUACCGCAUACGUCCUACGGGAGAAAGCAGGGGACCUUCGGGCCUUGCGCUAUCAGAUGAGCCUAGGUCGGAUUAGCUUGUUGGUGAGGUAAUGGCUCACCAAGGCGACGAUCCGUAACUGGUAUGAGAGGAUGAUCAGUCACACUGGAACUGAGACACGGUCCAGACGCCUACGGGAGGCAGCAGUGGGGAAUAUUGGACAAUGGGCGAAAGCCUGAUCCAGCCAUGCCGCGUGUGUGAAGAAGGUCUUCGGAUUGUAAAGCACUUUAAGUUGGGAGGAAGGGUUGUAGAUUAAUACACUGCAAUUUUGACGUUACCGACAGAAUAAGCACCGGCUAACUCUGUGCCAGCCGCCGCGGUAACAC
rnacentral:rRNA from 1 species